UGUUAGAAAUUCAAUAUAAAUUUGUAAAAUGCAGCAUUCGUUUUGUAUUGGCCAUGGACAGUGUUUGCAGAGGCCAAUAUUCAAUAUUUAUACGUAAUUUUAGUACUCUAUUGUUGGUUGUUACCCUAGUUUCGGUCUUUGUUGCGCAGAUUACAGCUCGUGCAUAGCACGCGCAUUUUGUGUAGUUUUAUGCGUGAAGAUGAAUAAAAGCACACCUGGGCGAUCUAGAUGGAUUUGUUAUAAUUGCUCGUUACAAACAAUGACACGGUGCCUAUACCACGUGACUUUUUAAGAUCUGUGUGGGGAGUAAAGUGUCAACAAAAUUUAUGCGCGACGAAGGUAUGGUCCAAUGCUCAGCUCCGACUGCGGAAAAAUGUUGAAGACCAGAGCUGGAUUUAUGCGCCACAUUAUUUGACACGCUAACUCUGGAAACUAUUACUGCUGUGGGAAAGCAUUUCAGGAUGCCUACAAUCUUAGAGGGCUUCUAAGAACGAAGGACCCAAAUGUCACAUGUGUGUACAGUGCGGCAGGAGCUUUGCGGACAAGUACCUACUCGUGGCUCAAGAGAAAAGUGCAAAAAAGAGGGACUGGCGAAAUGUUACCGCUGUGGGUUUGCAGUUAGGAGUGAGAAUGACCUCAAAUAGCACGACAAGACCCACAUGUCUGACAAGUGUUACAGGUGUUAGGAGUGUUUCAAAACGUACAGACGCAAAACAAACCUCUCUCAACACGUGAGGACUUCACAUAAAUCCGUGAAUACUGAUUAAAAAGCAGAAUAGUUUACAGUUAGUCUGUGUAACUUGAAUAUCGUUUUACGUUAUUUUAUUCGUUGUUUUAUUUUUAGAUUUACUUUUCAAAAUGAUUCUUAAGUAAUCCGAAUUUGAUUAGUUUGUUUUGUCUUUCGUUAAGUUCGUUUGUGUGUUUCUUUUGAAGUCUUGUCAAAUAUUUGUGCAAUAAUUUGGAUUUACGUUAUUCAUUAAUAUAUCGCAUAUGUGAUUUGUAUUAUCGAAUCUGUGAUUCUUUUUUAACUAUAACUUGAUUAA